rnacentral:misc_RNA from 1 species
CGGAGCUGGUCAAUCUUGGUGAAUACAGGUUUCCGCAAUCCUGAUUUUGAUUCAGCCAUUUUCAAGAAACCUCUUUGGAAAAGAAAGUAGAAUUGGUUUGAGAGAGAUCUGAUGGAGAGAUGAGGAGAGGUGGGCUUCUGGUCGGCUCUAGACUAGAAGAGUAGAAGUGAAGAGGGUUUUAGUGGCGAGUGAAUAGGGACCACUGCUCUUUGAUUGGACAACAUGACUGGGAUCUGAGUCUGACUUACCCUUCCCUUCCCUUCCCUUCGAAGUUAG